rnacentral:tRNA from 1 species
UUUUGAUAAGGGCGGGAUCACGGCCCGCCUAUGCAGGGCUACA